GAUGAACGCUAGCGGCAGGCUUAACACAUGCAAGUCGAGGGGUAUAGGUUUUCGGACCUAGAGACCGGCGCACGGGUGCGUAACGCGUAUGCAAUCUACCUUUCACAGAGGGAUAGCCCAGAGAAAUUUGGAUUAAUACCUCAUAGUAUAGCAGGUUCGCAUGAAACCACUAUUAAAGUUCCAACGGUGAAAGAUGAGCAUGCGUCCCAUUAGCUAGAUGGUAAGGUAACGGCUUACCAUGGCUACGAUGGGUAGGGGUCCUGAGAGGGAGAUCCCCCACACUGGUACUGAGACACGGACCAGAAUCCUACGAGAGGCAGCAGUGAGGAAUAUUGGUCAAUGGACGCAAGUCUGAACCAGCCAUGCCGCGUGCAGGAUGACGGUCCUAUGGAUUGUAAACUGCUUUUGUACGAGAAGAAACAUUCCGACGUGUCGGAACUUGACGGUAUCGUAAGAAUAAGGAUCGGCUAACUCCGUGCCAGCCGCCGCGGUAAUAC
rnacentral:rRNA from 1 species